AUUGACUGAUUUCCUUAUGCACUGAUACUCAGUAAAAUCUUUGAAAUUGUUGCAUGUUGCGUUUAUAUUUUUGUAAAGUGUAUAUACAAAUGCAUGUGUAUGUAUUCUAGGAGUGGACUUGAACAAUGGAGAAAACAUGAUCAGUUAUAUGGCACUUAUUUUCCAAGAUUGCCAUGUAUCUUGACAAACAAUGCUAUGUAACCACAAGGAUGAGGUAAAUAAAUUGAUUAUGGAGAGAUGUAAUAACACUAAGGCUGUUGUAUCUAUGUAAUCAUUAAUUAUUUUCGCUAAGUGGGUUUUUAAAAUGUUUUAAUGUUAGCAUUGUAAUGCAGAGAUCGAAGGCAAGGGCUGAAAAGUUCCCAUUUAUGUAUCGCUGCGGCCCGCGUCAUUAAUAUAUCUAGUGGGAUUUGAUAGGGGAAAAAGUCCACACUGGACAACAAUUCAGUGACGUCAAGUUCAUGUGUUGCUGCUGCCACCUUGUGUUUGGUCUCUUCCAUCACCCCUGUACUGCUAAAUCUCAUUCUCCACAAAAUGGUAUCGUCUGCGGUGUCAACAUGGAGUCCCUUGUAAAAGACGUGAAACUAUUAUUGCAUUUUUGACAGAUUUAAAAGCACGAAUGGGACCCGAUGCUAUCAGCACUUAUAGUGGGUAUCCCAUUCCUUUUUCUGCCUUCGUGACUGCGACUGAACCAGGAGGAUGCAUAGUGAGCUGCAUUACUCGUUUUUAAUUUGUCGACAGAGUGGAGCUAGAGUGAGACAGUCAGUGGAAACGGACUGCACUAUGCCCAGCAGUGGACACUGAUCAAGAAGAGGACAGUAAAGAUCUUACCACCAAGCCCCUGCAGCCUCUUAUACGGAGGCUAGGUUGCUGAGUUCCUACUCUCCACCUGGAGAUCUGAAGGCGGUUGUAAGGGAAGCCAGCAGUCAGGGGGUGGGACAAUAAUUUCUAGAGCUCAGUUUGGCUGCCUGGCCUGGUCUGCAUGUGAGAGCAGGGUGCUGUAUGUAUCUGAGGGGAAAAGGACGAUAGCAGAGUCAUCAGCUAAAGCAUCUAGCCCAUCAGCUAGAGACCCAACAGCAGGGCCCUCCGGAGACCUUUCUGGGAAGAUCAAGGCCCCAGUGCUCCUGAUGCUGGGGGGUAAAGACUGGAGAGACCCCUCACCAAGGUCUGGAGCUGUACCGGGCUCUGAAGAGCAGGGGAUCCCCCUUCAGGUGACAACCACUUGUUAGAUUAAGGAUUAUGAUGAUACUAUAAGUAAUUUGUCUUUAAAGUUCCAAUGAAUGAAUGAAUGAACUGCACUUAUUGCUCUUUAGCCAUGUUCGUAGAUGGCUCGUGGAUAUGUGUUAACUCUGGACCGUAUUCAUUAGGCACUAAAUGGAAGCAAAACGAACUGAAACGGGGAGGAACUACUUCAUUUUUGUUUUCCGUUGCCAAAUGUUUUGUUACGGUGUGCACUAAUGAAUACAGCUCUGCUGCCCCCUUUGUGUGUGUGGUUUGCGGAGAACGGUCACUCUAUACCGUGUUGACACUCAGGCUGACUGCUUCCUCAAUGUGGUUCCUCAAUGUGGUGCAACAGCACCUGCACUGAGCCUCUACUGGUAUGACUGCACACACACACAAAGAAGUGAACUGUGAAAUUAAGACAUGCACACUCAUGUGUGCUGUACUCACGUUGUACAUUUAAGCUGUUCUUCAAUUGUUAGACAAACAUACUUUUUUUUUUUUUUUUUC